rnacentral:rRNA from 1 species
UUCUAAAUGUAAAUUGGCUUAGGCCUACCAGAGCACUAUGAAUCUUCCAUUUAAAACUCAAAAGACUUGGCGGUGCUUUAGACUUCUCAGGGGAACCUGUUUCGUAAUCGACAGUCCACGUAAAACCUUUCCUUCUUUUGUAUUCAGUAUGUAUACCGUCGUCGUCAGGUAACUUUUAAAAAUAUUAGAAGUUAGCAAUAAAGUUAAUUAAGCUUUCACGUCAGAUCAAGGUGCAGCCUAUAAGAAGGUGAGAAUGGGUUACAAUUAAAAAUUAUAAUUACGAAAGCGAAAAUGAAAUUUUAGCCAGAAGGAGGACUUGAAAGUAAGAAAUAAACCAUACAAACUUUCUGAAUUCAGCUCUGAAGCGUGC